CAGCACUAAUUAUUUCUCCCAGCAUUUCCUUUGCCCAUGUGCUGUGGACUCAUCCACUCCCCAGUUAUUACUGCUCUUCCAUCUGCUUUUUUUUCCCCGCUUUGCUAUCUCACACACAUACAUAAUCACUUAUGUAAAGUCACCCAGGACAGGAAGAACCCGACAAUAACUGUUAUUAGCACUUCAAAGGAAAAACAUUGCUGGUUCUCAUUGGAAAUCUUUCUGAAUGGAUACCUGCAUGGCAACCUCGGCACAACCUGAUGGCUGUAACCCGGUUUGGAGCAGAACUGUGAAAGAGGAAUUCACAACACAAAGCCAUCUCCACGCUGGCAAGCAAUCUCAGAAGAAAAGGCAAGAAUUGGCAGGCCUGAAAAGAAAACCACCUUUCUCACCUUUACUGGAAAAAACAGGGCUGUUAGGCACAGCUUUUAUUUUACGUAUGAAACUGUCUUUAUGAAAACCCACAAGUUUUCUGGACUUUAGUCUUUUGAUCCUCUCUCCAGUUCCACUGGUGGGGGAGUAAGCAAGUGGCUGUGUCAGCCUGGCAUUUGUUGCUGGCUGGGGUUAAACUAUGACCCACCCUUAACUAGAGCUACCACCUACAUUUCAAGGCAUGGUGAUAUAGCAUCAACAACCAGAGAGGCACCAAAGGGGGAACAUACCUGCACAUCCAGAAGGACUAUAUGUGUGCCUGCGUCUCCAGGAUGGACAACGAUAUCCCAUGUUCAGCUCCACCAUCUGCACUGCAGCAGGGGACUAAUACAACCUGGGAGCUCCAGCGCUGGCAAUGGAAAACAUUAUAGGCGCAAUGGAGGAUAUGUUUGCAAAGAGUAUCUCCUGCACCUGGACUCCAUUUAUUAAGCUUGCAGAAAGGACAGCUCCUGCCAAGAAGCCAGACACUCUGACCUUGUUUGAACCUGCCUGCUGCUUGUGGAGCAGGAUCUGUCGCGAGCAGGAGCAAAGGAGGGGCACGGGGCACACUGCUGCUCCUCAGGGACUCACUCCAAUAUAUGGGGAGUUUAUGUUCCAAAGUGUUUUACUUUUAAAGCCUCUAUUCUUUCAUCUCAUCACAGGAUAUAACGUUGCUAUUGAGCUAUAUUGCUGUGUCUAGUCGGGGCGUGUGUUUGUGUGCUGGUGUCAAUCAUUUCUUUCUGUACCCUUCAUCAGCUGCAGCUCACGGAGUGGCAGGUGGUUCUUGCUCUCCAAUCUACUGAUGCUGCUUGGCUUUAUUAUAUCAUUUUUCCCCCUCCUCAAGCUUUAUAACCUAUCAAGAUCUAAAGUCUCUAAUAAACAGUAAGUAAAAAGGGAAAAAAAAAUCCCAGCAUACAAAGCUAAUACAGCUUGUGUUCAAUACUCGGCUCAUCUUCAGAAAGGCUCUAGGUUUCCCACUAUGACAUGAAAUUGAACUUAUCCCAUAAUGCGGUUCUCAUUUAGGAUUUAAACAUGUUAGCAUUUCCCUUAAUGAUCGUGCUUAGCUCUCAGACACUGCAGAGAUAAGUGUCCUGCAAAUAGCUAAGCUGGAUAGACGCAGAUAGAUACUGUUUUCCUUAAUAAAAGCAAGAUCCUUCAAAACAACAGAUUACCUAACCAGAGUGUUAUCUUUCCAAACAAAUAAGAUAUUUAGUUACUCCUUUUGCACAACAACAAACAAAAAUCUCUUUCCCUGGAUAAUUGAGUUGUCUAUUUCUUAAAACUGCUCCUCCCAGCCUAAAAGCAGCACAGUGCUAAAGAGCAAACUCCAUUUCAUGUCUGCUGGACAAUUUUAUUGAAAACCAGGCAAACUCUUGGGCAUCAUGCUGACUGGGGACUGCAUUCAGUGCAUCCAACAUCCCAAUGUGGUACAUUUUGGCCCUCUACAAAAUCAUUUUUGGGGCUGAAGCCCACAUAGGAAAAGCUUCUCAUAAUCUGGGGCUCAGCCAUAAGGCUACAGGGGAGCAAUCAGACCAGAGGCUGGAAGGGGAGAUCAGGAGAAGCACCAUCCCUUUGGCUUGGCUGAGGGUGCCAGAGGGAUGGGCAGGGUAUUUGCAUCAACAUCUGUCCAUUAGAAGGAACAGGGACAGCCCACUUAUUUUAUACUCUAUCACACUGGCAGGUUACCAUCCCAGGCUCUUUGUUACCAAUGGUCUGGGUUGCAUUUGAGCAGGAAUGGAAGUGAAGUGCUGGAUAUUGCAAUUAGUCCAAAGGGGUUCCCAGCUCCAAAUUUUGUCUACUUUAGCCAUAUAGUACUAUCUCAUAAAAUUGGUACACACUUUUUCCUUUGUCUGGAAAAGGAAAACCUGAUGCACUAUUCACACAUAUAAAAGUAAAAUACAAUUAAUUAUGUAUAUUUAUAUCGGACUUGUGGUAGGAUAAUAACAAGGUCAUUAAAAGCAUAAAUAGUCGAACAUUCACACUGUUUAUGAUCUAGACCUGCUGGGGAAAAAACCUGGAGACCAGAGGAGAGGCUGGUAGAGCCAGAGGAACCCCUGCACUAGUGAGCUGCAGGAGACUUUGGCAAACUGGGGAGAACAGGCAGGGCAUCGCACAACAAGGUAAUGUGAGUUUUGGCACAUUUGUAUUUGCCUGUGGUGGUUUAGUUAUUAUGAACAACCCUCAAAAAAUACACUGUUAUCUCAGCAAGCUAAACAAUAGCAAGCAAGCAGUAAACCCUCACGUUAUGUUGAAGCCAGAUACUGGGUGCACAUGCAUCAGCUCAGGGUAAGCUGUUUGUUUGUGGUGGGGUAGUUGUAAUUCCACUCCCUACAGUUUCUGUAAAGAAAGAGGUAGAGAGGAAAGAUUGCAUUGAUAGCCCAGCUUCCCACUGGGUUGCCAGGAAGUGAGACAAGAUCGAGCCAGUCUAAACAUACUUUUGUGCCCCUGAACACUAUUUGGUAAGACUUUAAAAAAACCCUUCCCAGUCAUGUUUACAAAAUGCAAAUCGUGUUUUGGAUCAUUACUUCAGCAGCCAACAGAUAAAGAAGUGUUCUAACAUACUGCAUAGACCAGGUGGAAAGGUCAUCAGUCAAAAUGUUCCAGCAGAACUAUUUGCACCUGUUAACUGAUCUGCUAAUUUCAAAGCAUUCAUUAACAAAAGGGAUUCAAUUUUAUUUUACUGGACUUUCUAGAUCACUUAAAAAGAUUAAAAUUUUGCUCUGCUGCAGCAGAAAUAUUGCUUUUCCUCACUAGAAUAGAGUUCCACUUAUUAGCGUAAGAAAAGGGUAUCAUUUGUUCAUGAUAAGCUGAGAAAAUAAUUAAAAAUUUAUGGAAAGUUCUUUUCCUAAGCAAAGGGGGGAACUUUUGGUAAAAUGGAAUAGUAUCAAUGCUUGUUUUCUAAGAACAAACAAAUAAAGAAGGCUAAUUUCGUGUUGAAAAUAUGCUUUCUGAGGAAAAAAAAUUAGCAAAAGGACAUGGUUCACUAUGUUUUAACUUGGAAUAGUUAAUUCAGUUCUUCCCAAUACUCUGUGACUGCCAGCCUCUGGCCAAAGACAACAAAGACCUGCUAGCCCUUUGCAGAUGUUUUAAAACAGUAAAGGUUUCCACCCAUAAAUACUACUUCUUCCUAGAGCUAUAGGGAACACCCAAGCCUGCCUUUAUUUUCUCUGCUUCUGUGAUGACUACUAUCUGCUCAUAAGUGGGUGGCUUUUGCAAAAAACAGAGAAAGGAAAAGAAACCUUUUAAAAUGCAGUCCAAGCCCAGCAUCAUGUUCCACUGGUGUCCUCACAGUCUGGCACAAUACUGAGAGCUGUGGGAUCAGUAAUGGAAAACAAAAACCUCACAAAUAUCAGUUAGAACAAGCAUCUAGAACAUUAUUAGCACUGUAACCGAUUACUUUAUUCCCAGGCAGUAACAAAUAUUUCUGAAUGCCCUGAACAGGGCAGAGAUCACUGCCCAUAAACUCCAGUUAUGGAGCAGAGACAAUAUCCCUGGAAUUGCUAUGCCGUAAAUAUAUUUCGUUACCUUAUCAUGCCAGCUAAUUGUUUCAUUAACAGUUUAUUAAUGCCCACUAAAAUAUUAACAAAUCUAAACAAAUCUCAAAGUCAUUUGUGGAUAAGCUGUAAGCAGACAAAAGUCAAACAAAACCAGUCUUGGCACAUAAUUCAGGCACCUCUGCUCAGGGGUCAGAUUUAUGGAGAAUGAUGCUGUAGCACAUAUAGGUAUCCCAGAUCAGGUGCACUGUCUAUCUGGGAAUAUCCCAGGCCUGCUCAGGUUUAAAUAUGUCCUAGCACACAGUUCACUAAGUGUCAGUCACCACCCUACUCCUCUAUCAAGACUUCAUUACAGCAGGAAUGGGGUUUUUGUCAGACUUCAUCAUCAUGACCAAUUACAGCUUUCAUAAUUGCGUAAGGUUUGCAUACUACAACAUAAUUUUUCUUAACGUUGGUUUUGCUCCAGUUAUACUUAUUAGACUGGUAUUUGUUUAAUUCUGGGUAACUGAAAUACUAACUUUGUGAAAUUUAUCUUACUUUAAGCUCAUUUUCCCUUAUUAAUGGGGAUGGGGGAAGCUGCCUUCCUCUCUUGCUAUGGCUUUGCAUAGAUUCUAAAGAGCUCAAAAACUGUUGGGCACUGAAAUUAUCUGGAAUAAUUUACUGCAGGCUUUGAUUAAAUUUGAAGGGAAGUUAAGAAUAAUUUUUGUUUUACUUGAAGUAUUCCUUGUAUCACAGUAGAUGCACAGAAUCUUGAUAAUCUUAACAGAUUUGCGUCAAAAACACUUAAAAUAUAAUAAAGAACUUUGGGGAGAAAAUAAUAGAAUCAAUGACAGAAGAGACAACAAUUUCUGGCAAGUUCCUAGAUCAAUUAUAUUCCUGCUUUAGCCCUAGGUUCAGAAAGUAAAUUUAAAAUUCUUUUCAAAAAAUCUUAGUGUCAAUACUCAGAAGAAAUCAUCUGAGUCCCUGUACAUUUUUGUACAGUUUCAGUCUGGCAGCAUAGAAUCAGUAAAAAAGAUUUCCAAUUUAUCAGGUCAAACAGCUAUUAGUCAAAGUCUUCUCAAAAUAUGUCUCUGUGUGGUUUUAGAAAGUAAAAACAGCACUGAAAAAAAAAGGCAGUAGACAGUAGACAAGACUCAGAAAAAAAUAGCACCCUUAAAUCUAGUAGACAGGUUAAGCUGGUAGAUGCUAUAUUAGAAAAUCAGUGUGUUAUUAUUGACUAAUAAUAGACUUCAGUGAAGUCUGGCUAAUGUGAAUACUAACAAAUUAUCUGUACUGAUGAAAGCAGAGAGAGAGAUACCUGGUUUUCCAGGGCAAUGUGAUAUCUAUAGACAUUUGCUCUAAGUAGUUUUUGUGACAGAGGAUGCUGCUGAAUCAUAUAAAUUUUCCUUUCUAGUGUAAAAGAAGAAAGUUUCAAGUAGCAGAGACAGGUAAUUAAACACGCAGCUCAUUAAUAUUGGUCCAAAUGCUCUCCUCUGCAAAGGUGAAGGAGAACACCACCACGGGUUCAGGCCAGUGAGCACAGAGAGAAAUGAUCAGGAGCCCAGCAGAACAGCUUUGCUUCUGCUUGGAAGGAGGGAAGAUUUACAAGCCCAGAAGCAACAGGACUCUCCUUGCUGCCCCGCCAUGCAGACCAGGCACAGGGAGAGCACAUUCCUGAGGCUGGGAUGGCUGAAGAAGCUCAGCGUGCAUAGGCACGCCACAGCGCAGACAUGCCACAGAAGAUUCAGCUCUAAAUUUAAAAAAAAAAGCAAACCAACAAACAAACAAACACCACCCCAUCCCCCAAAAAAAAAAAAAAAAACAACACAAAAAAACUAAAUUUAGGUGUGUACAGGCACAAAACUGAGUUGCCCAAACAUAUGUGUCUGGCUACACAAGCUGUCCUAGCAUACUUGAGACAUCUGUACAGGGCUGCCAGAACUCAUACACGACCUGCAGGGAUCUUGCACAUUUCUCAGGCAGAAUAUCCCACAAAACCUAAAAUUACCUUUGACACCCUCUGCAGCAACGGGAUCUCGUCAGCACUGCCUUGGCUGCCAUCACUGCUGGCAGCAAGCCAGUAAGGACAUGCAAGGGCACACAAGACAGCUGCACAUGAGCCCUUGCACGAGAUGCCUCAAGCAGCAGCUCUGCUCUGAUAAAAUAUAGAAAAUUCAUUGAGCAACAGUGUCCUUACAAGAGCCAGUGCUGGCAGUGUGCAUCUGCUGAGGAUGAAUCCAAGAUCAUGUUUCAUCUAGUAAAGCAAAGCACAGAAACACAAGGUGUCGUUUUUGGACUCUGUGACCUAAAACUUUGAAAGUCUACACCUUGCCUGCUGGAAACUGCUCUGCUGUGGUCUGUCUUGCAAACAAGCCUUGAAAAUUUCCAGACCCCAUUCACCAAGUAUUUACAUCAGCAUGCACCAGGAAUGUCUCAGUUGCAUUCCCCGUCUCUAACACAUGUGGGCUCAGCUGAAGGCCACAUCUGAAAAGCCUGAUGUUUCCAAAAGAGCAAAGAUCUUAUCAAAGACUGACACAAAUUUUUCUGCCUCUGUCAGAGGUACAAACUCAUUUCUCGAAACACCCACCCAGCCUUGCAGCCCACACUCUGCAAGAUGCCCCAUCCUGGAAGCAGACUGCUGGUUGACAUUGGUGUACCUGCCACAUAAGAGCAUGGAUAACAUAGACAAGGAAGGGAUAUGCCCCAGCUUGUGUUUGUUGCAAAACUAGACAGAAUGUGAGCAAAGAUGCAGCUGGCUAUCUGAAAAGAGAAAAAACAUAGCUUAUUCUAUCCCUGGCCCUUUAGUGCACUUCAGACAGUUUUCUAGCCAAACACCUUCUGGAAAAAAAGAAAAGAAAAAAAGAGAAUGGCACAAAGCUUACUAUUACCCUCUACAGAGAUCUUGGAGAUUCCAGUCUUCCUCUUAUCUUCUCUUUCUGCACAAGCAAACCUAGAUGCAUCCCCCUCCACGUUUGUCAGAGGAGGAACAGAGCAGGCAAGACAAGAAAGGUCACUUUGUACGUCUUGCAGUGAGGUUACCUAGUUGGGAGACACAAGAGAAGCAAGUCUUGGAGAGCUGCCAUGGUUUAAGCCCAGCCAGUCACCAAACCCCUCGCAGCCACUUUCUCGCUCACCCACCAGUGGGACUGGGGAGAGAAUCUGAAGGAUAAAAGCUGGAAAACCCAUGGGUUGAGACAAAGGCAGUUUAAUGGGGAAAGCAAAAGCCAUGAGCACAAAGCAAAGCAAGGAAUGAUUUCACCCCUUCCCAUGGACAGGCAGGUGUCAAACCAUCCCCAAGACAGCAGGGCUGCAUCACACGUAAGUUUCUUGGGAAAGUCAAUGCCAUCAUUCCAAAUGUCCCCUCUUGUGGCUGCCUGGUGCUUGGUUGAUGGCUGGGGCCAAGCAUGACUGAGUUACUUAAGGAGGGGAUAUGUUCAGGAGGAGUGGGAGAGUGAAGCAUAUGAGUGAAUUUGUGCCACAAAGAAAAUCAGUGGCCUGAAAAAUGAGCAAAAGGCAAAGGAACUUCAGUCCAGAUUUUCUGGAUUUUCUGCAUCUGCCUGUAAAUAGCACAUCCAAAUAUAUGUAAUGCCAUAUUACAUUUCAGGUGACCAAUCUAUAUUCUUCAUUUUUUUCCCAAACAAUUUCAUGUUGUUCUUCCUUUUCAAGGUGUCCUUAAACAAUUAAGCAAAAUGAAGAACAUUUUCCAACCUCCCGUGAUUAAGUAAUUUUAUAUAUUAAAUUAUACUGCCAUCAAUUAUUAGAUGAAGAUUGUCAUUAAAUAUUACAAUGAAGAAUAUUAUCAACAUUGCAUCUGAUAGAGAUGAAAAAACUACAUAUAUGGAUGGAUGUAAUCUGUUCUUUGGUUUAUGAGCUCAGAGUUCCCUAGACUGUGUCACUGAUGACACAAUAUCCCCAAAUGGUGGAUUUUGUGUGUGAUACAUCUGAAAGAUGUGCAAAAACAGAUGUAACCAGACAGCUCCCCUUGGUUACAUACAUAAGGAAGCUUCACAGAGCAAGUUAUUUUAGCUAAGGCUGGCAAUAAUUUAUUCUGAAUAAAUUGCCUCUAUAUCUGUUUCAGGCAACAGUGACAUAGGAAGAAUGUGAACUUUUUUGUUAUAUCAACUCAUUUUGAGCCAAAUUAUGCUUCUUUUUGAGUAUUUGCCAUUGCAAACAUAGAAGACAUGUGGAUCUAGAUAUUAGCACCUUCUAAAAGUUGGCUCAAUAAAAGCUGUUUAGCGCUUAAACAUGGAAGCUGUUGUCAGCUUCACAGAUGAGUAACUCAUUCCAAAUUUUGGAAAUGGAAAUUCUGAUCUGAUGUAUAUUUCAGGCUUAUUAAGAAACUAUAUUUUCUAGGCCACAAUUCAGUUAAAAUUAACUCCAGCUCUCACACUGUGACAAUCCACACAUGAUUAUGGAAGUCAUAAAAAAUGAACUUGAUGUGGGUUCUUCUACUGUAAGUGGAGGAAAAUGUACCCUGGAGCCCAGACUCUUCGUUCCAGAGAGCCACAGGACAAAGAGAAUACCUAAUCACACUGCCUUAGCUUCAAUAUAUUCUUAAAAAGAAGAAUGUGUUAGACUUUAUCCUUAGAAACACGUUUACUUUUCUUUUUUCUGUAAUUCCAUCAAAAACUGAAAGACAGACCAAUAAAAAGAUGCCUUUGUAUGUUUAUUGAUUCUGCAUUUUCCUCUGUCCUCUAGACUUCAAAAGAGAAAUUGUAAGAAGGAAAAAAAUAAACACCCCAGUGGACAAAGCUUAAAUCAGAUUUGAGAUGUUUAUUUCUGGGAUAUUAAAAUUAAGAGUCCUUUCAAUAUAUCUUCUUUUUAAAUUCUGUCUUGCCUACUGAAAAUAAGAUCUGCUGAAGAUCUCAUUGUUUUGAAAGUGUGAGAAUUAUUUGUGUUGCUCCUCCCCCCACAUCUUCUAUUGGUCCAAAAUUCACUUUCUUUGUACUUUUUGUGUGGUCUCCUCACUACUAACUCUAGGUCUUUUUCCUAGUCACACCAACUGGAACAGUUUUGGUCAGUUUCUCUG